UGUGUUGAUGAUUUAAAGAGAGAUAAUCCAUAUUGCAACAGAGAUAAUCCUUUUUGUAACAGAGAUAAUCCUUUUUGUAACAGAGCACCAGAUAAUGUGUGUAAGUGAUGCAGUCAGAUGGUGUAGCAGAUGUUCAUUAUGCAAUGAAACAUUGUCAAAGGUUGAUUUAGAAAUCUUGUACAGUAUUUAUACACACUCAAUUUAUGUAAUUUUUUACUGGGGUAGUGACGUGAGUGACACAAGGGAGAUAAUAAUGACCAAACUGUUGAUUUUGUUAGUUUUUGUAACAAUUAUGCAUGACAAUUUUUUCUCUCAGCAAUACUUGACUUUUCAUGUAGGAGUUGAAUAGAAUAGAUGGUCCCUGAUGAGAUUCCAGACAAGAGCGAGUUUUGCCAAAUAGUGAAGCCAGUUGUUGUUAGUGUGUUAGUCCUCGGGUAUUGAAUGGAGUGUGGUUUGGAGUAGACAUUAGACAUUUUAUAAUUCUAUGGAUGACUCUUCUUACAUUAGCAUUUUGUUCCCUGUUUUUUUGCUAAUGUAGGUCACAGUUAAUCUUUAUACUAGGUUUUAUUUUUUUAAUGCAGCCUACGUGACUGUAUAAAACACUGACAUUAUCUAUAUCUGACUUUUACUAAAUCAAUCAUGGUAUCUAAGGCCUCUGGUCUGACUACUUUGGGCAUUCUUUUUUACACUAGCUUUGCAUAUAAUUCUGCCAUGAAGUUGCCAUUUAUUUUCAUUUUUAUUAAAAAAUCGGAAUAGGACAAACAAUUUAAAUGUCUGUUAUAACCCUGAUGUUUUUUCCCUGAGAACCAGGGCAAUGAACUUUUUGACAAGCUACACAGUUUUGGGGUUGUACCAAUAAUGACCAUUUAUUCCCAUCAAAAUAUCACCAAUUUAUCUAUCAAUGUCUAUCAAUGAUCCCUCAUAUCCACCAUUAACCAGACGCCUUGGUCUGGAUGACGGUGAAGAAUUUGAUUUUUACAUGACGUAGUGUCACGUGACUGCAGUAUCCACGUGUCAGCUUCUGUACUAGUCAGCCCGGCUUGAGCGAAUGUUGUGGAGUCUGAGGCCCUAUGGCGGCUUUGAUACUGGCUGCCAUGUUGGACCUUUUUUAAAAAUGUUUGUUGAAUAAACAAAUAAGUAAU
rnacentral:misc_RNA from 1 species